CCCGGGGGCGCCGUGAGGGGAGCGGGUCGCGGCCUCGUCGUUGUCGCUGACCCCAUUGCGUGUCCUCCCCUCACGGAGCCAGCGGUGCCUUCCCCGCACCGGGGCCAGGGCUCUUCAGGUGUCGGGGUGCCCGGUCCCCCCUGGUGGCCGCCCCGCGGUGCUCGGGACCCGCUGCAGUCCUAAACCGGCCCCUGACCUUGGGGCUCCGGCUGAGCAUCCCCCGAACCCACCCCGCGGUGGCCAUCGGUGCCCGUGGGUGCUCGGGGACCCCAGGUGGGACGGUUCGGGGUGGUGAUCAUCAUGUCCUUAGGGCACCUUGGUAGAAGGACCCUUGAAAAGCAACAUAGAAGAAACAUUCUGUACCACAUCUGCAUAUGGAUUGGCAAUCACCCUAACCUUUGUGUCACUCAUCUGUACCUCUAUAAUUAAAGGUUUCCACUAACCAUCAAUUUGGCGGUCUGAGGCAACAUUGGUAAUAUUUAUGGUUAUUUAUAUUUGCUGAUGAUUAAAAGCUGACUUUUGAAGAGAGUCACAAAUAAACACAGAUGGUAAAACUUUGCAAAAUGCAAUCUAAAAGAAAACCCAAAUGAGAAGAAGGGAGAUACAGAUGCCCACAGGCACCUGAAGGGUGAAGUUACUCCAGGAUGAAUGAUGUUCCAGCACAGCCUGCAUGGGCUGAGAGCAGAUGGAAAGUCAAACGUGCUUGAAUGAGGAUCAUGGUGAGUGGGGAGGAAAGUCCCAUUCAAGUGAAAACAGGGCUAGGUGGAUGACUGUAAGCUGGCAGUGUGCCCUGGGGGCCAGGAGGGCAGGGGGGUCCUGGGGUGC